rnacentral:rRNA from 1 species
UACGUAGGAGGCAAGCGUUGUCCGGAAUACUGGGCGUAAAGCGCGUGUAGGUGGUGGGACAAGUCUGCUGUGAAAGCGCCUGGCUUAACCGGGCGAGGUCGGCGGAAACUGUUCGACUCGAGGACGGUAGAGGGGGGUGGAAUUCCCGGUGUAGUGGUGAAAUGCGUAGAGAUCGGAAAGAACACCAACGGCGAAAGCACUCUGCUGGGCCGACACUGACACUGAGAGACGAAAGCUAGGGGAGCGAAUGGG